AAAGUCGUAACAAGGUUUCCGUAGGUGAACCUGCGGAAGGAUCAUUAUUGAAUAAACUUGGUUGGGUUGUUGCUGGCUCCUAGGAGCAUGUGCACGCCUGAUCCAUUCUUAACCACCUGUGCACCUUUGUAGACUUGAACGGUUCUCGAGACAAUGUACUCGGUUUGAGGAUUGCUGAUGCGAAAGCGCGGCUUUCCUUGUGUUCAAGUCUAUGUCUUAUUACACCCCAUCAGAAUGUAUUAGAAUGUGAUGAAUAGGCCUCUGUGCCUUUAAACACAAAUACAACUUUCAACAACGGAUCUCUUGGCUCUC
rnacentral:misc_RNA from 1 species